rnacentral:rRNA from 1 species
AGCAGCCGCGGUAAUUCCAGCUCCAAUAGCGUAUAUUAAAGUUGUUGCAGUUAAAAAGCUCGUAGUUGAAUUUCGGGAUCAAUCUGUUGGUCGUGCCUUUGGUACGUACUAGCUUAUUGAUUUCUCCCUUCUGACGAACCAUGAUGUCAUUAAUUUGGUGUCAUGGGAAAUCAGGACUGUUACUUUGAAAAAAUUAGAGUGUUUAAAGCAGGCUCACGCUUGAAUACAUUAGCAUGGAAUAAUGAAAUAGGACGUUUUGAUUCUAUUUUGUUGGUUUCUAGGAUCGACGUAAUGAUUAAUAGGGAUAGUUGGGGGCAUUAGUAUUCAAUUGUCAGAGGUGAAAUUCUUGGAUUUAUUGAAGACUAACUACUGCGAAAGCAUUUGCCAAGGAUGUUUUCAUUAAUCAAGAACGAAAGUUAGGGGAUCGAAGACGAUCAGAUACCGUCGUAG